rnacentral:rRNA from 1 species
GAUGAACGCUGGCGGCGUGCCUAAUACAUGCAAGUCGAGCGAACGGACGAGAAGCUUGCUUCUCUGAUGUUAGCGGCGGACGGGUGAGUAACACGUGGAUAACCUACCUAUAAGACUGGGAUAACUUCGGGAAACCGGAGCUAAUACCGGAUAAUAUUUUGAACCGCAUGGUUCAAAAGUGAAAGACGGUCUUGCUGUCACUUAUAGAUGGAUCCGCGCUGCAUUAGCUAGUUGGUAAGGUAACGGCUUACCAAGGCAACGAUGCAUAGCCGACCUGAGAGGGUGAUCGGCCACACUGAAACUGAGACACGGUCCAGACUCCUACGGGAGGCAGCAGUAGGGAAUCUUCCGCAAAGGGCGAAAGCCUGACGGAGCAACGCCGCGUGAGUGAUGAAGGUCUUCGGAUCGUAAAACUCUGUUAUUAGGGAAGAACAUAUGUGUAAGUAACUGUGCACAUCUUGACGGUACCUAAUCAGAAAGCCACGGCUAACUACGUG